rnacentral:rRNA from 1 species
UCCAUGCCUUCCAAAAAUCAAAAGAGUGUGAAACACCCUUCAUAUAUUCAAGUUGUUGUAGUUAAAAAGCUCGUAGUUAGAUUUUGCGAUGGGCUGGACGAUCCGCCCUAGGUGUGUACCGGUCGUCUCAUUCUUUCUGUCGGUGAUGCACUCCUGGCCUUAAUUUGCCAGGUCGUGCCUCCGGCACUGUUACUUUGAAGAAAUUAGAGUGCCAAAGCAAGCCUACGCUUUGUAUACAUUUGCAUGGGAUACCAUUAUAGGAUUUCAGUCCUAUUACGUUGGCUUUCAGGAUUGGAGUAAUGAUUAACAAGGACAGUCGGGGGCAUUCGUAUUUCAUAGUUAAAGGUGAAAUUCUUGGAUUUAUGAAAGACGAACAACUGCAAAAGCAUUUGUCAUGGAUGUUUUCAUUAAUCAGGAAUGAAAGUUGGGGGCUCGAAGACGAGCAGAUACCGUCCUAGUCUCAACCAUAAAUGAUGUCGACCAGGGAUCGUCGGAUGUUUCUUUUAGGACUCCGCCGACACCUUAUGAGAAAUCAAAUUUUUGGGUUCCGGGGGGAGUAUGGUUGCAAGGCUCAAACUUAAAGGAAUUGACGGAAGGGCACCACCAGGAGUGGAGCCUGCGCCUUAAUUUGACUCAACACGGGGAAACUUAUCAGGUGCAGACAUAGUAAAGAUUGACAGACUGAGCUGUUUCUUGAUUCUAUGGGUGGUGAGCAUGGCUAUUAUUAGUUGGUGGAGCGAUUUGUCUAGUUAAUUCUGUUAAUGAACGAUACCUCAGCCUGCUAACUAGCUAUGCGGAGGUAUCCCUUCGCAACCAGCUUUUUAGAGGGACUACGGCCUUUUAGGCAACGGAAGUUUGAGGUAAUAAAAGGUCUGUGAAGGCCUUAGAUGUAUUCAACGUGCGCUACACUGAUGUAUUCAAUGAGCUUAAAGCCUUGGUCGACAGGCCUGGGUAAUUUUAGAAAUUUCAUCGUGAUGGGGAUAGAUCAUUGCAAUUAUUGGUCUUCAAAGAGGAAUUCGUAGUAAGCGCGAGUCAUCAGCUCGCGUUGACUACGUCCCCACCCUUUGUGCAUAAUACCCAUCGCUCCUACCAAUUGAAUGAUCCAAUGAGAUGUUCAGAUCUCGGCGACGUGGGUGGUUCGCUGCUCGCAACUUCGCGAGAAGUCCAUUGAACCUUAUCAUUUAGAGGAAGGAAAAGUCGUAACAAGGUUUCCGUAGGUGAACCUGCGGAUGGAUCAUUG